rnacentral:rRNA from 51 species
GAGACCUCAGGUCAGGCGG